AUUGAACGCUGGCGGCAUGCCUUACACAUGCAAGUCGAACGGCAGCACGGGUGCUUGCACCUGGUGGCGAGUGGCGAACGGGUGAGUAAUACAUCGGAACGUACCUUAUCGUGGGGGAUAACGCAGCGAAAGCUGUGCUAAUACCGCAUACGCCCUGAGGGGGAAAGCGGGGAUCGAAAGACCUCGCGCGAUUAGAGCGGCCGAUGCCUGAUUAGCUUGUUGGUGGGGUAAAAGCCCACCAAGGCGACGAUCAGUAGCUGGUCUGAGAGGACGAUCAGCCACACUGGGACUGAGACACGGCCCAGACUCCUACGGGAGGCAGCAGUGGGGAAUUGUGGACAAUGGGGGCAACCCUGAUCCAGCAAUGCCGCGUGAGUGAAGAAGGCCUUCGGGUUGUAAAGCUCUUUUGUCAGGGAAGAAACACCGGCUCUAACACAGUCCGGGAAUGACGGUACCUGAAGAAUAAGCACCGGCUAACUACGUGCCAGCAGCCGCAGUAA
rnacentral:rRNA from 1 species